CUGGUGUGCUCAGAGCCAGUUUCUCUAAGACCAUAGAUUCUGGUUUAUACCACACCAAACAGAAACUUUAGGAGUGUGCUCGUACUGAAGUGAAGUCAUCAUUUCUUCACGUGCACACGCUCCACACACUU